GGACUGUUCGCGUUUUAUAUCGCCAGCAGAUGUUGUCACGGUCAGCCCCAAGAGAUCAUGUUUAUGAAUGCGUCCAAAUAUUCGACUUCCGAAUUGGGGUUACUCAUACACGCGAUGGUUUAAAAUAGGCUAAACUCGCGGGAGGUUUUUGCCACCUUCAACCAUAAAUUCCGGCGUGGUGAAGGCUGUAAGUCGCAAACGGCUUUUG
rnacentral:misc_RNA from 1 species